rnacentral:rRNA from 1 species
GCCGAACGCUGGCGGCGUGCUUAACACAUGCAAGUCGAACGGAAAGGCCCUGCUUUUGUGGGGUGCUCGAGUGGCGAACGGGUGAGUAACACGUGAGUAACCUGCCCUUGAUUUUGGGAUAACUUCAGGAAACUGGGGCUAAUACCGGAUAGGAGCUCCUGCUGCAUGGUGGGGGUUGGAAAGUUUCGGCGGUUGGGGAUGGACUCGCGGCUUAUCAGCUUGUUGGUGGGGUAGUGGCUUACCAAGGCUUUGACGGGUAGCCGGCCUGAGAGGGUGACCGGCCACAUUGGGACUGAGAUACGGCCCAGACUCCUACGGGAGGCAGCAGUGGGGAAUAUUGCACAAUGGGCGGAAGCCUGAUGCAGCAACGCCGCGUGCGGGAUGACGGCCUUCGGGUUGUAAACCGCUUUCGCCUGUGACGAAGCGUGAGUGACGGUAAUGGGUAAAGAAGCACCGGCUAACUACGUG